AGAGUUUGAUCCUGGCUCAGAUUGAACGCUGGCGGCGUGCCUAACACAUGCAAGUCGAGCGGUAACAGGUGUAGCAAUACAUGCUGACGAGCGGCGAACGGGUGAGUAAUGCUUCGGAAUCUACCCUAUGGUGGGGAAUAACCAGCCGAAAGGUUGGCUAAUACCGCAUACGUCCUACGGGAGAAAGCAGGGGAUCGUAAGACCUUGCGCCGAUGGAUGAGCCGAAGUCGGAUUAGCUAGUUGGUGAGGUAGCGGCUCACCAAGGCGACGAUCCGUAGCUGGUCUGAGAGGACGACCAGCCACACUGGGACUGAGACACGGCCCAGACUCCUACGGGAGGCAGCAGUGGGGAAUAUUGGACAAUGGGGGCAACCCUGAUCCAGCGACGCCGCGUGUGUGAAGAAGGCCUGCGGGUUGUAAAGCACUUUUAGUGGGGAUGAAAUGUGCAGGGUUAAUACCUCUGCAUUUUGACCUAACCCACAGAAAAAGCACCGGCUAACUCUGUGCCAGCAGCCGCGGUAAUACAGAGGGUGCGAGCGUUAAUCGGAAUUACUGGGCGUAAAGCGUGCGUAGACGGUUGCGUAAGUCAGAUGUGAAAGCCCCGGGCUCAACCUGGGAAUUGCAUUUGAGACUGCGUAGCUAGGGUGCGGAAGAGGGAAGCGGAAUUUCCGGUGUAGCGGUGAAAUGCGUAGAUAUCGGAAGGAACACCAGUGGCGAAAGCGGCUUCCUGGUCCAGCACCGACGUUCAGGCACGAAAGCGUGGGGAGCAAACAGGAUUAGAUACCCUAGUAGUCC
rnacentral:rRNA from 1 species